AUUGAACGCUGGCGGCAUGAUUUACACAUGCAAGUCGAACGGUAACAGGCCGCAAGGUGCUGACGAGUGGCGAACGGGUGAGUAAUGCAUCGGAACGUGCCCAGCCGUGGGGGAUAACUACUCGAAAGAGUAGCUAAUACCGCAUACGAUCUAUGGAUGAAAGCGGGGGACCGUAAGGCCUCGCGCGAUUGGAGCGGCCGAUGUCAGAUUAGGUAGUUGGUGGGGUAAAGGCUCACCAAGCCAACGAUCUGUAGCUGGUCUGAGAGGACGACCAGCCACACUGGGACUGAGACACGGCCCAGACUCCUACGGGAGGCAGCAGUGGGGAAUUUUGGACAAUGGGCGCAAGCCUGAUCCAGCAAUGCCGCGUGCAGGAAGAAGGCCUUCGGGUUGUAAACUGCUUUUGUACGGAACGAAACGGCUCUGGUUAAUACCCGGGGCUAAUGACGGUACCGUAAGAAUAAGCACCGGCUAACUACGUG
rnacentral:rRNA from 1 species